UAAGUAGUCGGUAACAUUCUCGCUCAUUUAAGUUCGAAAUUGAGGUUUUCGUUCCUAGUUUCAUCACUUUCCUCAACUUCACCCUUUGUCACUUUUCCCAAAUUUUCCGAUUUCCCUCCCCUUUGUUCUCUUCUCUGAAAGCUUCCCCCUUCCCUUCUCUAUUCUGCUGGUUCUCUGAAAGCUUUCCCCUUCCCUUCUCUAUUCUGCUGGUGCCCUCCAUUGUGCCCUCCAAUAUUGAGCGAUUUUGGGACAAGUGAGGGUUGGUUGGUUGAUACCGGUUUGGGGAUUCUUUGGCUGGGAUUGAAGAUGGCAGUUUGGGGGUUCUACGCCUAGGUUUUCUGAGGUUGGUUUGGUGGUUCUACGGUUGGGUUGGUUGACGCCGAUUUGGGGGUUUUGCGGCUGGGUUCGUUGACGCAGGUUUCGGGGUUCGUGGGAGAUGUCCGGAACGUGGCGGCAACGAGAGUCUCACUGUCUAGCGAAUACUGGUAGAUCUGGAGCGAAUAGCAUUGCGAUGGUGAUGGAGGUAGCGAGACGCGCUACAGCUAUUUUCGUGUUUCUGCUCUUGCAAAAUUUGUGGCGAGGGAAGAUGACGUCUCUGGAGCGACGACAGCGAGGGACAUUCAGGGUGGAGGGGAGCACGAUGGUGAUCCGAGAUGCAUCGGCAAUGUCUGAAGCAUGACAGUAUCAACGACGGGUUCAAGAAAUGACCACCCAAGUGGCUCAAAUGGUGACUGUUAUCAAUCAGCUGACAAGGAAAAAUGAAGAGGAGAAAGGGGCAACAAACAAUGAAGCACCACUGAUGGUAGCUGUUGCCCCAUAAUUUCAAGAGAUUGAGUGUCCUACCACCUCUGUAUACUCUAAUCCUUCUUUCACUGAUUCAUAUUAUGCUUUAAAUUCUGAUAAUUCCAAUUCUCUGAUGAGUGAUGAUUAUAUGAGUGCAUCUAUUGAUAUUUCUGAAUGUGUAUGUGAACCUUAUGACCAUAAUUACACUGAUACUCAUUUUGAAAAGCUAGUUGAUGGUUUUAGGGAGUUGGCUAUGAUUCAUGAUUGUAAUAGCUUUGUUGUUGUCCCUAUAUCUGAAUUUACCACUGCUAAUGUUCAAUUGAGUGAAAAUGUGUAUUAUGAUGGUGAUAGUACUGAACCUCAUUCAGUACUGUGAAAUGCAUUUUGAUGCUGAUGUGUGUGAGCUUGAAAUUGAUUUCAAUGUGCUUGAUCAUAUGCAUGAUGUGCCUGUAGAAGUUGUUGAUUUUACUCCUUGCUUUGAUAAUUCUAAUAUCAUAAAUUCAGCAUUUUCCAUUGAUAGAGUUCAUAUACCUGCAUCUAGUGUUUUUGAUGAUUCCACAUAUUUAAAUGCACUUUUUGAUGAGGAAUCAGUUGCUCACAAUGAUAGACAUGCAGUUUUUGAUGAUGUGAAAGUUGAUUUGGCUGAUUUUGAAAAUGCUUGUACUGAUUUAGGAUUAGAACUUGAACUUGAGUUUGCUGGGUUCUUAAAUUCUUUAGAACUGAACAAUGAAAAACUCACUGCUUGUACAUGCCUUGGGGGUGGUUGUGAAAUUUGUGAAGAAAUCAUUUCUGCCAUAUGUUCUGCUUGUAUUUGGUUAUACAUGAUUUUGUUUUCUUUGCCAUUUUGCAGGUUUUGGUGGGUAUUAUUAUCUCUUGGAGCCACUCUGGUGGGUGGGAAUGAUCACAAAAUGUGAACAGUUUUGAUGAUCUGCUUCGUGAAAGAUCGAGUAUAAAGAAACCAAAUUAUAUUCUUGAUGAGUUAGAAGAAGAUUUAGAUAUCUUCACAGCAAACAUGGGAACCCUACAGAAAACAUCGUCAAAAUUGAAAGAAGUGACACUGGAAGAAGAGAUCCUAGAAAUGUAUACAAGUAUGUUAUCUCAAUGCAUAAAAAAUCGAGGGAUGCUGAUGCUAAUCAAAUGAACGAUGUCAUCUUUCACAGCAAAAACAUUACAGUGUCAUCAGUACUCUUGAAGAGUUAUACAACUUAAAAAAGUUAAGAAUAUGUAAAUCAUGGAGACAUCAGGAAGCAUGUUCAAGCUGCUCCUUUUUUAAUUGUUCGAGUGUCUAUUACUUUUAUGUAAUUUUUUACUAAAUUUUUCAUAUAUUUUUGUUUCAUUUUAAUAUGUAUGAAGAGAACAAAUUGUAUUAUUUGAGAGUAAAUGCAAAAGUAACUAAAUCAUGUUAAAUGUA